rnacentral:rRNA from 1 species
UGAGGAAUAUUGGUCAAUGGGCGCAAGCCUGAACCAGCCAUCCCGCGUGAAGGAAGAAGGCCCUAUGGGUUGUAAACUUCUUUUCCAGGGGGUGAAUAAUUCCGAUGUAUCGGGAGAUGACGGUACCCUGGGAAUAAGCAUCGGCUAACUCCGUGCCAGCAGCCGCGGUAAUACGGAGGAUGCGAGCGUUAUCCGGAUUUAUUGGGUUUAAAGGGUGCGUAGGCGGAACAAUAAGUCAGUGGUGAAAGACUGCAGCUUAACUGUAGACUUGCCGUUGAUACUGUUGAUCUUGAGUAUGGUCGAGGCAGGCGGAAUGUGUAAUGUAGCGGUGAAAUGCUUAGAUAUUACACAGAACACCGAUUGCGAAGGCAGCUUGCUGGGCCAUUACUGACGCUGAUGCACGAAAGCGUGGGGAUCGAACAG